CAUAGACUGAUGGCUGGACUAUCACAGUUAAAGAGGCAGAUAGGAGUGAAGGCUGUUCUUUCUGCUCCGCUGAAAGCUUCAGGACAAAACUGCAUGCUCGAAUUCUGCCGAAGUCUCCAUGACGUGAAGAAUAGCCCCGAGAUACUGAAUAUAAGCCAGGAUGGGUGCUGGUUGAGAGAACAAGUUUAUUCAUACUUCAAAAGUGAAAGACAUAUCCUGUGUACGCAACGCCUUAUUUGGAAAGCGCACGCACAGGAUGAGG